AAACUCCCGGAUGAUGAAAAAUUUAUACCUAAGUAUGACUGUGUAGUUCUGUACACAUUCUAAAGUCUGGUUUCCUAAUGAUAUUUUAAUAUUUUUAAGUCUUCCUGAUUUGUUAAAUACAAGAACCUACAUCAACAUACGUAAAGUCAAGAGAGAGUCUGCAAGACAUUGACGUCAUGGGAAAAUUUGUAACUUAUUAGACAUACCACAAACAACACUUGUUAAUUUUUUUCACGGUAUGUUAUACAAUUUUACUAACUGUAUGAUAAGUUCUAUUCAUACGAAAACUAACAGGUUUUUUUUAAAACAAUUUUUAUAAUAAAUCAUUUACUGCGGACGUGUAUUGCCAAUUCUUCAGCGGUUUGCAAAAUUAUUACGAUUGACAUACUUUGAUAGGAUUGCUACGGAUGAUUCCGACAACAAAUGUAGGCAUGUCAUACACCAUUGUAAAGAUAAAUCAAUUUAGAUUUACGAUAUAACAAGUUUUAGCGGGGUUGACAGCCUAUAAAGCGGCAUAUAACGGAACUUCGUCACCACCUGACAUUUUUCUAAAAUGCAAGUUAAGUACCUUGUGUUAUAAUAAGGUAUAUAGGAAAUUUUUUUCUGAGACAAGUGCUUGUGUGCUUACCGGACUUAUUUGAGUAUAAAGAUAUUGAAGGAAUAAGUAUGAAUUGUAGUUAUUCCCCUUUGCCCAUAUGUUACAUGUACUGUCUUGUCAUGUGAAUAUUUAUUUGUUGUAGGGUCUAAAUAUUGUGUUAUAAAAGGAAA
rnacentral:lncRNA from 1 species